rnacentral:rRNA from 1 species
UACGUAGGGUGCGAGCGUUAAUCGGAAUUACUGGGCGUAAAGCGUGCGCAGGCGGUUCGCCAAGUCAGGUGUGAAAUCCCCGGGCUUAACCUGGGAAUUGCGCUUGAAACUAGCGGGCUUGAGUGUGGCAGAGGGGGGUGGAAUUCCACGUGUAGCAGUGAAAUGCGUAGAGAUGCGGAGGAACACCGAUGGCGAAGGCAGCCCCCUGGGCUAACACUGACGCUCAGGCACGAAAGCGUGGGGAGCAAACAGG